GUGGCCUAGUGGUUAGAGCAUCCGCCUCUGAUUUGGGAGGUCGUGGGUUCGAUCUCAUACCAAAGACA